GUCUACGGCUAUGCUACCGUGAACGAGCCCGAUCCUGUCUGAUCUGAGAAGCUAAGCAGGAUUGGUCCUGGUUAGUAUUUGGAUGGGAGACCACCUAGGAAGACCAGGUGCUGUAGUAG
rnacentral:rRNA from 1 species